rnacentral:rRNA from 1 species
UACGUAGGGAGCGAGCGUUGUCCGGAAUUACUGGGUGUAAAGGGAGCGUAGGCGGGAGAUCAAGUUGAAUGUUAAAUCUAUUGGCUUAACUAAUAGCUGCGUUCAAAACUGAUUUUCUUGAGUGAAGUAGAGGCAGGCGGAAUUCCUAGUGUAGCGGUGAAAUGCGUAGAUAUUAGGAGGAACACCAGUGGCGAAGGCGGCCUGCUGGGCUUUUACUGACGCUGAGGCUCGAAAGCAUGGGUAGCAAACAGGAUUAGAUACCC